rnacentral:misc_RNA from 1 species
AAAGCGUGAGUAAAGCAUUUUGAUUUAGUCACGAUGAGAAGAGUUAAUGGACUCGCCACCCUGACUCGAAACAUUGCCGCAGCCUCCUCCGCCGCUGCAGGCGCGACGUCUCGGCACCUUUUGGUUCAAGCCGCAAUGAUGAGCACUUGGUCAUGUACGAAUUCCUCGCAGAGAAUUGCCGAUCGUUUUGGAAUAUCAAACCCCUCUGUUGCGAGUGGUGUCGCAGGGACCAUGUUCUUCUCUGUUGCGGCAUCGUCUCUGGAGCAAGAGGUACACGCGAAGGAGCCACCACCUGCCGAGAAAUUCCUCCCUAAGGAUGUCGUCCUCUAUCAAUACGAAGCUUGCCCUUUCUGCAACAAGGUUAAAGCAUUCUUGGAUUAUUACAAUAUUCCAUACAAAGUAGUAGAAGUCAACCCAAUCAGUAAGAAGGAGAUCAAGUGGUCCGAUUACAAGAAGGUGCCUAUACUAACAGUUGAUGGAGAACAGAUGGUCGAUUCUUCAGACAUAAUUGACAAGUUGCUCCAAAGGAUUCAUCCAGAUAAUUCUAUUACAAGUGCUGAUGAAGAAAGCAAGUGGCGGGGGUGGGUGGAUAAUCAUCUAGUGCAUGUUUUAUCACCAAACAUUUACCGAACUACUUCUGAGGCUCUUGAAUCGUUUGACUACAUCACCACACAUGGCAAUUUCAGCUUCACAGAGAGGUUGGUAGCUAAGUAUGCUGGAGCUGCAGCAAUGUAUUU